UCGAAUUUAUAUGAUGGAAAAGUUGUAAAAGGACAUGUAACUGUGUGACCUCAUUCUAAUUAUAAAUAACGUACAUGCAUGAUUCACAAUAUUGGGUUAUUGUAGUCUGAUAAAGUUUAUACAUGAUCUUUAGAUAAACAUAAAGCAAAAUGCCUCGAAUUAGGCUUUAUAUAUUAACGAAAGCUACUGGAAGACAACUGCUCGAUCAAAACAUCUCCGGCGAUGGCUGUUUCCACCUUUCAGGCGGCCCACUGACGCGUAUGAAACGUGUAUGAAACGCGUUCCCUUGUCCUUGUCAAAUACCAUAUCUUCUUACAGACCCGUCCUACGCAUUCGCACCAUCGAAAUCGGAGGGGAGCACGUGGAGAAGGAGGUUUUUGGGGCUCCCUCCUCUUGGACCGGCCUCCCCUUCAUCUACGAGAAGGUCCGAAUCAG
rnacentral:lncRNA from 1 species